rnacentral:misc_RNA from 1 species
ACCGAUGCAUUGAUCCAGCUAAUCAAAGAUCAUUGCCGCUGGGUCGAUCCUCCUGCAGAAGAGUAAUAAUAUCAAGUAAUUCUAAUUUGGAUAUAGGAAGAAAGUGGCAGUAAAAGGGACGUCACAGUUUACAUAUUCUAUUAUACAUGUAAUGCAAAAGCCAGAAGUUGAAAUCUUAGAGAGUCUAGCUGCACCGUGUAGAAAUCUUUCCUUGUAUGUGAACGUCGGUGUAAUUGGAAUGUAAUCUUCAAUUAGCAUGCAAAUAACUUUGUAAUUCUCUCACCAAUAAGAAAUUCAAGAUUUCCUGAAUGUUGCAAAUUGUAGAUCAACCAAUGUACGUAGACAUACCAAUUAAAUUGAAUUCCAGCAGUAUAGAAUUUGAGCUACAAUUUGCAACAUUCAGGAAAUCUUGAAUUUCUUAUUGGUGAGAGAAUUACAAAGUUAUUUGCAUGCUAAUUGAAGAUUACAUUCCAAUUACACCGACGUUCACAUACAAGGAAAGAUUUCUACACGGUGCAGCUAGACUCUCUAAGAUUUCAACUUCUGGCUUUUGCAUUACAUGUAUAAUAGAAUAUGUAAACUGUGACGUCCCUUUUACUGCCACUUUCUUCCUAUAUCCAAAUUAGAAUUACUUGAUAUUAUUACUCUUCUGCAGGAGGAUCGACCCAGCGGCAAUGAUCUUUGAUUAGCUGGAUCAAUGCAUCGGU